UACGUAGGGGGCAAGCGUUAUCCGGAUUUACUGGGUGUAAAGGGGGCGCAGACGGCGAUGCAAGCCAGGAGUGAAAGCCCGGGGCCCAACCCCGGGACUGCUCUUGGAACUGCGUGGCUGGAGUGCAGGAGGGGCAGGCGGAAUUCCUGGUGUAGCGGUGAAAUGCGUAGAUAUCAGGAGGAACACCGGUGGCGAAGGCGGCCUGCUGGACUGCAACUGACGUUGAGGCCCGAAAGCGUGGGGGGCAAACAGG
rnacentral:rRNA from 1 species